rnacentral:rRNA from 1 species
UGGGGAAUUUUGGACAAUGGGCGAAAGCCUGAUCCAGCAAUGCCGCGUGUGUGAAGAAGGCCUUCGGGUUGUAAAGCACUUUUGUCCGGAAAGAAAUCCUCUGGGUUAAUACCUCGGGGGGAUGACGGUACCGGAAGAAUAAGCACCGGCUAACUACGUGCCAGCAGCCGCGGUAAUACGUAGGGUGCAAGCGUUAAUCGGAAUUACUGGGCGUAAAGCGUGCGCAGGCGGUUUUGUAAGACGGAUGUGAAAUCCCCGGGCUUAACCUGGGAACUGCAUUCGUGACUGCAAGGCUAGAGUAUGGCAGAGGGGGGUAGAAUUCCACGUGUAGCAGUGAAAUGCGUAGAGAUGUGGAGGAAUACCGAUGGCGAAGGCAGCCCCCUGGGCCAAUACUGACGCUCAUGCACGAAAGCGUGGGGAGCAAACAGGAUUAGAUACCCUGGUAGUCCACGCCCUAAACGAUGUCAACUAGUUGUUGGGGAUUCAUUUCCUUAGUAACGUAGCUAACGCGUGAAGUUGACCGCCUGGGGGAGUACGGUCGCAAGAUUAAAACUUAAAGGAAUUGACGGGG